rnacentral:piRNA from 1 species
UUAUGUAAUUAAUUCCAAAUU